CUGGGCAAUCCUUCCUAGCCAGACUGUACUUGAUCUCAGACGCUAAACUGACCUGGACCUGGCUAGUACUUGGAUGGGAGACCACCUGGGAAUGCCAGGUGCUGUAUACA
ensembl:rRNA 5S_rRNA 5S ribosomal RNA